rnacentral:rRNA from 1 species
UACGGGGGGGGCAAGCGUUGUUCGGAAUUACUGGGCGUAAAGCGCGCGUAGGCGGCUUUGCAAGUCGGGUGUGAAAUCCCCAGGCUUAACCUGGGAACUGCAUUCGAGACUGCAUUGCUAGAGUAUGGGAGAGGGAAGUGGAAUUUCCGGUGUAGCGGUGAAAUGUGUAGAUAUCGGAAGGAACAUCAGUGGCGAAAGCGACUUCCUGGACCAAUACUGACGCUCAUGUGCGAAAGCGUGGGGAGCAAACAGG